rnacentral:miRNA from 1 species
AACGACUUCAUCUUCUUUGCU